ensembl:lncRNA
UGGAAACUGCGCCGGGCGGAUAAAUAAGGCGAGGGCCGCGCGGGGCCGUCCCGCUGCCAGCAUCUCUGCGGCGGAUGCAGAGCCCGUGAAGGAGGCCCAGAGAGCUCUUCCCGAGCCGCCCUCUGCGCCCCACUCCUGGGGAAAGAGGCCCAGGGGAGGAAGCCAGAGGUGCAGACCCGAGAGGGCUUCCAGCCUAGGGCUGAGGGGAGGGUAAAGGUGACCCCAGGUCAUCGGAUGUUUGUUCCGGGGCCCCAAGGACAGCAGGAGGCCCCGGCUGGCCCAGCCAGUCCUGGGAGCUAGGAAAAGCAUCCUAAGGAAAAGUUAGGAGAAGAUGGAGUCAGAAGCGUCUCCGGGGCUGAAGCCCGGAGCCCCGGGAAGAUGGGGUAUCUGGGCCGGCCUGGGAUGGUACCUGAUAUCCCCGGAAGUCAGUCCCUCAGGGGUGGCCGCUCCUGGGUGGCUAGGAGGAGGAGUUUAGACCAGGUGGAAGAAGGGUGUCAACGCGGGAGGCUUGGGCCAGGCCCACGCGCUCCUGCACAGGAGCUGAGGGCCAGGGUAGCAACUGCGCCCCAUGCCCGGGAAGCAAAUGUAGCCUCCAACCCUCCUCCCGACUCUCACAGACUUGUCUGACUCACUAGAAUUCCUGAUGCCCUGCGCCCAAGCCUACUGCCUGUAAAGCUAGAGAGCGAUUUUAGUGGUGGUUAUGAAGUUGAGUCACUUCAGGGUGUGAGGAUCUUCCGAAGCAAAAGGGUCAUUUCAAAUGAAAGCAGACUACCUGCGGGGAGGAGCUGCCAGCCAGCUGGAUGAUUUAAUUACAUGCCAUCUUAAUUUAAAGAGGUUUGCGUGCUGAUUGUGGAUAGCUGGACAGUUACAUGCUGAUGUAUACCUGGAAAUUGCCUUUUAACUAGAGAGAUUGAACUCAGGUCCUUGCGGUUGCGCAGCAUGCGGCGAAACCACUGAGCUAAAUCCCCGGCCCCUCUAUUCUUAAUUGUAUGGGUAAUAUAUUUAAAACAUACGUGGCAGCUACAAUUCUCGUUCUAUUUUGAGCAACUUUGGAUGCCCCUCUUCUGUGCGUAUAAGGUGCUAGGCAAAUGCUCUACCCCUGAGCCACACCACCAGCCUGUACUGCUCAUUUGGAGAUGAAGAUGAAACCUUCCUAACCUCCCCUCCUUUAAAUCCUAAAGAAUUGUCUGCUAGAAAUAAUCCUCGCCCUCCUCAUGCCUAUAAUCCAAGCACUAGGGAGGCUGAGGCAGGAGGAUUACAGCAAGUGUGAGGCCAGCCUGGACUAUAUAGUGGGAUCCUGUCUCAAAAGACAAACAAAAAACAAACACAAAAGCCAAAUGUAGGCAGCAGGAGGGCUGCUAUAUUCUGAGUGCUCCUUCGUGUCAUAAAUCGUCCCUGCUGGUUUGGCAGAGAGAGAAGAGGAAGCCAUUUAUAUCUGGGAGUUGGGAGGAAGGGGCGUGUCUCAGCCAGGUCAGAAGCUGCGGUUUCUGGGUCCGACAAGCAGUGAAGCGGCAGAGCCCAGAGCUUGUGCUACGUGUCAGGCAGCCAGCACUGCUGCAGGCCCCAGGGGCACAGGGGACAGCCGAGGACCAGAGCACCGAAGCACUGCCUCUUAAAGCAGCUCUCGGCUGCCCCUCAGUCAAACCGAGACUGCAGGCUUUGUGGGAGUAGCUGGGGACACAGCGUGAAGUUAGGUGCAGGGAACCAGCCACCUGAUGGUGGGGAAGGCAGUAGCCAGAGUCUGCCGUUUAUUAGACCACAGACACGAACAAAGGCUUUCGGUCACCCUGGACUUCACCUGCCUCCCAGAGUGUUGUUGGCUCUCAGCUCUGCCUGGUGGAAAGAGCUCAGUUUCUAAUCGUCAGUCCUCUAAUUAAAGAACUUGCUGUGCUGUUGGAUUGCCCCCUGCCUGCUUGGCUAGCUGGGCCCACGGUGACAGCGAUUACCCUGUACCUCUGAAUUUCAUGUCCAAUAAAAAGCAGUAUUUUGCAUC